GCAACUUACCGUCGAUUGGUCGACGAGGAUGAGAAUUGCUAUAGGAUCUGCGAAAGGACUGGCAUAUCUUCACGAGGACUGUCAUCCUAAGAUCAUUCAUCGUGAUAUUAAGGCGGCUAAUAUUCUUUUGGAUUACAAGUUUGAGGCUAAGGUUGCUGAUUUUGGACUCGCAAAGUUUUCUUCCGAUUUCAACACUCAUGUCUCCACUAGGGUGAUGGGUACCUUUGGGGG